CUCCGCCCCCCGCCCCGCCGCGCGCUCCCGCCCCCGGGCUGAGGCGACUCAGAGUCGGAGCCCGACACAAAGGCGGUGGCGGCGGCAGCAGCGGAGGGGCCCUGGAGGCCGCUCCGCCCGCGCUCUCCGGGCCCACCUUCCUCACUCCGGCCACCGGCCCGGCUGCCCACCCGCGGGUCUAAGAUGGCGGCGGCGAAAGAGACCAGGCAAGCGGCAGCCCUGAGCGGAAAGCGCCGGAAAGGCCACCGCUGCCCGGCUUCGGAUUCCCGGACCCUGGCGCGGCUCGCGGCGAGACCAUGGCUUCCUGGGGUUCUUACCUGUCCGGAGCGGACUUGAAGAGAUGCGGCUACACGUUCUGCUCGACCUCCCGUUUUGCCGCCUCCGCCUCGCCCUCCCCAGCGCCGCUGCCGCCAUCUUGUGUCCCGGGCCGGGACUCCGCGCUGCGCAUGCGCUGGUACCGCCUCUGAGGGACCUCGCCACGACUGUGCCGCCAUCUUGAGUGUGGCCGGGCUGUCUGGCUCCCUAGAACUUGCUGGUUUCUGACCCCCUCCCCUUCCUCCCUUCUCUGCUGUCCCAAGCGUUUUUGAGGAGAGGAAAAAGCUUUGCUCCCCCCGGGUUGUGAACAGAGCGAGAAAUGAAUUCACCAACGUCCUUGCCUCAGUUUCCCCCGAGAGUACACCUGCAGGGUCCAGAGGACCCAGUUGGGCGCACCAGGGGACUCGGGGCCGAUUUGGAAUCUUCUGGGGGCCCGGGCUCAGACGCCGACCCGGGGGUGGAGUCCUGGUGACGUAGGCUUAACGUAGUGGGCACCUGGGUCCUAGCCUCCGCGGGUCUGUGCUGCCUCAAGCCAGCCUCUUGCCCUCUCUGGACCAGCGUCGCGUAGGGUUCCAGAGUGUGUUCCACCCCUGCCCCCAUGUCCAGGCUGUGUGCGAGUGACCCUCCCGUUAGCGCCUGCACGAGUUCUCCAUGUAGAUUCGAGCCCUCCAGAAACAAGAACAAGCCAGCUUCAUCAGCGCCGCAGUGCAGCAGUCCUGUCCUCUCACCUUUUGAUGGAAGACUAGGAAGCCAGACAGCUGGGCUCUAUCUCACACCCUGCCUCGGAGGACCAAAUGGCACGCCUUGCCUGAGACAGGAGUUACAGUCACUCUAAAGAGUGCCUAAAUAUACAAGCUCACCAGUAGUUCAUUUUUACACUAAAGUGUAAGAACCA